GUUCUGGAAACAUGGCGGCGGACCGGAAGUGACUUUAUGGCGAAUCGGAAGUGAUUCCAUUCUACCGUCAACAGAAGCAAGAGAGCUAAAUUCGCUUUAAAACUUCUUCUUGCUUGUUUGUAGGCGAGAUGAGACGUUGAACCUGUUUGUCUUCAGCUGAGUCGGAAGAAGAGUUGGAGUAAGGAGUUUCCCUAAUCGUCCAGUUACCUGUGAAAAAGAAACGAUGAAGAUGUUGGAACAAGAGGAAGGAAAAAGUUUGACAGAAACAGUAAG